GAGUUUUGACUCCGUGGCUCAAGGACAAACGCUGGCGGCGUGCUUUAACACAUGCAAGUCGAACGAUGAACUGGAGCUUGCUCCAGGGAUUAGUGGCGAACGGGUGAGUAACACGUGAGUAACCUGCCCUUGACUCUGGGAUAAGCGCUAGAAAUGGCGUCUAAUACCGGAUACGAGCUUCAGCCGCAUGGCUAGGAGUUGGAAAGAAGUUUUGGUCAAGGAUGGACUCGCGGCCUAUCAGCUAGUUGGUGACGGUAAUGGCUCACCAAGGCGACGACGGGUAGCCGGCCUGAGAGGGUGACCGGCCACACUGGGACUGAGACACAGCCCAGACUCCUACGGGAGGCAGCAGUGGGGAAUAUUGCACAAUGGGCGAAAGCCUGAUGCAGCAACGCCGCGUGAGGGAUGACGGCCUUCGGGUUGUAAACCUCUUUUAGUAGGGAAGAAGCGAAAGUGACGGUACCUGCAGAAAAAGCACCGGCUAACUACGUG
rnacentral:rRNA from 1 species